rnacentral:rRNA from 1 species
GAUGAACGCUGGCGGCGUGCCUAAUACAUGCAAGUCGAGCGAACGGACGAGAAGCUUGCUUCUCUGAUGUUAGCGGCGGACGGGUGAGUAACACGUGGAUAACCUACCUAUAAGACUGGGAUAACUUCGGGAAACCGGAGCUAAUACCGGAUAAUAUUUUGAACCGCAUGGUUCAAAAGUAAAAGACGGUCUUGCUGUCACUUAUAGAUGGAUCCGCGCUGCAUUAGCUAGUUGGUAAGGUAACGGCUUACCAAGGCAACGAUGCAUAGCCGACCUGAGAGGGUGAACGGCCAACCUGGAACUUAGAACAGGGCCCGACUCCUACAGGAGGCAGCAGUAGGGAAUCUUCCGCAAUGGGCGAAAGCCUGACGGAGCAACGCCGCGUGAGUGAUGAAGGUCUUCGGAUCGUAAAACUCUGUUAUUAGGGAAGAACAUAUGUGUAAGUAACUGUGCACAUCUUGACGGUACCUAAUCAGAAAGCCACGGCUAACUACGUG